ACAACCAGGUGUGAACCAGGGGCCCCGGGGAUGCCAAGGACUGAAGAUGCAAACGCACAUAUGCACCCGUGCACACGGGUGCAUAUGUUCAUUUCCCUUCCAGCCCUGGAAACAGCAGUCUACGGGGGAAGCCACGCCGACCUGGCCACGGAACGUAUAUGCGUGCACGCCCAAUGAGGUGUAAGACACUUCGCCUUUCUGCACACACGACUUCAUUUAUCCUCACUGUGAAAGUGCCUUAAACACACAAGUCUCAAGUGUCCUGACAUGACAAUGAGGACAACACCUCCAUUCCAGCAAGACUUCACGAUCCAUAGAUUAGACUAUCUUCCCAGAACCAGAGCACAAUCGGACAUCUCCAUCAAUGUGGAGUGAGCUACGCAGUAUCGUAGAAGCCAAGAGAGAGGGUUUGGCCACCUAGGGUCGGUGGGACCUCUGGGACCACCCAGACCAACCCCCACAUCCUCUCUCUGAGGGUGGCACGCACCUCGUUCCUAUUUCACAGACUGGAAAUCGAGGCUCACGGAGGUUCUGCCCUGUUCAAGGAAGCACACGUACCGAAUGGAAAAUUGGCCACGGAGAUGCAGAUGUGCCCACAUCACGUAUCAGUGAUGCGGGAGUAAAUACACGUGAGAGUCUGGAACGUGGAUGAAGGAUGAUACGGUCCAUAUUUUUUUCUAUUUCAUUGCAGAGUGCUAGAGGGAGAGGUGGGUCCUCACCGCUGUGGUCUUGUCCUUGGUCAUGGAUUCUUUUCUUGGGGAAAUCUUCAAUGCCAAGUAACUACGAAGCCUCCUCUCCCAAAUGUGAUUCCACUCUCAACCCCAUCCUGCAUUUUACCGAGCAUCUUGGGCCGAAAAAAAAUUAAAUAAAUAAUGAUAGAAGUCCAUUUGACUUCAGCA